ensembl:snRNA U5 U5 spliceosomal RNA
AUUCUUAUUUCUCUUCAGAUCGUAUAAAUAUUUUGCCUUUUACUAAAGAAUUUUCUGUGCAGGGGAACAACAAGAGUCAUCCUAAUUUUGAAUGCCCUGCUGAGAGGUAGGGU